rnacentral:tRNA from 1 species
UACACUUUAGUAUAAAAUGUAUAAAAGUUUUUGGUACUUUAGGAAAUAGUGUUAGUCUGUUAGGUGUAG